rnacentral:rRNA from 1 species
UCGAUGUCGGGGCCGGCGGCGGUGGUAUGACGGAUGUUGGAGGCGUUAAUUGGAUUUACUGGUCGUAAGGCGUGUGGAGGUGGUUGGUCAAGUCGGUUGUGAAGUCCCUGGGCUUAACCUGGGAACUGCUUCCGAGACUGAACGACUAGAGAUCGGUAGAGGGCGGUGGAAUUUCCGGUGUAGCGGUGAAAUGCGUAGAUAUCGGAAGGAACACCAAUGGCGAAGGCAGCCGCCUGGGCCUGAUCUGACACUGAGACACGAAAGCGUGGGGAUCAAACAGGAUUAGAUACCCCGGUAGUG